rnacentral:rRNA from 1 species
GCUUGUCUCAAAGAUUAAGCCAUGCACGUCUAAGUAUAAAUCUUUUACUUUGAAACUGCGAAUGGCUCAUUAUAUCAGUUCUAAUUUAUUUGAUAGUCCCUUACUACUUGGAUACCCGUAGUAAUUCUAGAGCUAAUACAUGCGUCAAUACCCUUUAUUGGGUAGUAUUUAUUAGAUGGAAACCAACCCCUUUGGGGUGAUGUGGUGAUUCAUAAUAAGCUUGCGGAUCGCACGGUUUGUUCCGGUGAUGGAUCAUUCAAGUUUCUGCCCUAUCAGCUUUGGAUGGUAGGGUAUUGGCCUACCAUGGCUUUAACGGGUAACGGAGGAUUAGGGUUUGAUUCCGGAGAGGGGGCCUGAGAGAUGGCCACCACAUCCAAGGAAGGCAGCAGG